UGCCAUUUCCAGCCAGGGGAAUCGUGGGUUUGCUGCUGUGAAGAAUCAGUGCCUUGGCUGGCGCAGCCUGCCCAUGCUGCCAUUGCUACACAGCUGCUUCGACCCCUUCUUCUUCAGCUGCUGCUUUUCAUGGACUUUCACAAAAGAAAACUCAAGUGGAAGCUGCUAAAAGGCCCCAACCCAUCACACCACAGGCAUGUUUGGAACAUGAUCCUGAGUUGCAGGAGUUCCUGGAGCCCAAUCAGAAGUGUUCUUUGCAUGGGUAAGGAUCAAACUUCUGGAAAACAGAAUGACAGAGUCUUUUUUAUACCAGAUGAUGCUGUGUAAACACAAGGCUUGGUGGUUCAGCCAUAAGAAGAGACUUAUGCUUCUCACCUAAAGUGUUGGAUUGCCUUGUCCCAGAAUGGUUUC
rnacentral:lncRNA from 1 species